AACGUAGGGGGCAAGCGUUGCCCGGAUUCACUGGGCGUAAAGCGGGUGUAGGCGGUCCGUUAAGUCGGGUGUGAAAUCUCCAAGCUCAACUUGGAAACUGCACCCGAUACUGGCGGACUUGAGGACGGUAGAGGUCGGUGGAAUGAGCGGUGUACCGGUGAAAUGGACAGAUAUCGCUCAGAACACCAGUGGCGAAGGCGGCCGACUGGGCCGGACCUGACGCUGAGACCCGAAAGCUAGGGGAGCGAACCGG
rnacentral:misc_RNA from 1 species